rnacentral:tRNA from 1 species
AUUUAAAUAGCUUAAUUAGAGCAUAAUAUUGAAGAUAUUAAGGUGAUUAAUAAAUCUUUAAAUA